rnacentral:rRNA from 1 species
CCUACGGGAGGCAGCAGUGGGGAAUAUUGGGCAAUGGAGGCAACUCUGACCCAGCAACGCCGCGUGAAUGAUGAAGGUCUUCGGAUUGUAAAGUUCUUUUCUAAGGGAAGAAGAAAGUGACGGUACCUUAGGAAUAAGCCUCGGCUAACUACGUGCCAGCAGCCGCGGUAAUACGUAGGAGGCAAGCGUUAUCCGGAAUGACUGGGCGUAAAGGGUGCGUAGGUGGUUUGACAAGUUAGUAGCGCAACUCCGGAGCUCAACUUCGGAACUACUACUAAAACUGUUGGACUUGAGUGCAGGAGGGGCAAUCGGAAUUCCUAGUGUAGCGGUGAAAUGCUUAGAGAUCAUACAGAACACCGAUUGCGAAGGCAGCUUACCAAUCUAUAUCUGACGUUGAGGCACGAAAGCGUGGGGAGCAAACAGGAUUAGAUACCCGUGUAGUC